UACAGAGGUCCCAAGCGUUGUUCGGAUUCACUGGGCGUAAAGGGUGCGUAGGCGGUCGGGUAAGUCUGAUGUGAAAUCUCCAAGCCUAACUUGGAAACUGCAUUGGAUACUCUCCGGCUAGAGGAAUGGAGGGGAGACUGGAAUACUUGGUGUAGCAGUGAAAUGCGUAGAUAUCAAGUGGAACACCAGUGGCGAAGGCGAGUCUCUGGACAUUUCCUGACGCUGAGGCACGAAAGCCAGGGGAGCAAACGGG
rnacentral:rRNA from 1 species